UUCGAUAUAAAGUAGAGGGAAUUUGUGUUACUCUUGGUUUUCUCUCAGCAACUGUGCAUCGUGAAAAGUAUCCACUAUGAUGUUAAUGUAUAAUUCAAUCUGUCCAAAUGAUGAUGGAUAAUCCCUUUACCGUUUUGGCCAAUGACCAACUUCGAGUUCAAUGUAGUGGCAUUGACGCUUAUUGGAGGUGUCCAGAUAACAAUUUUUUGGAAUUUGGGGUGUGAGAACCAGGAACUAUCAUUUUAAUGUUAACUUACAGAAAGUUGGAGCAACAAGUGUCCCAGUAAAUGCAUUAUUACCUUUCUAAAAAAAGGGUGUCCAAGGAAAUACAGAUAUAGUUAUAAAAGGAAACAAUCAAUUACAUAAGGAGAUAUAACAAUCUCUCUUGAGUUGGAAAACAUAAUUAUUUUUAUUUGAGAUACUGUCGACAGUUGGAGGGUAGGGAAUUACACCGUAUACAGUCAGAAAUGGCAGAAACUAGUUUGAUUAGUUUAAACUAUGCAGUAUCUUUAUGAUCAUCUACUUUAUCUUUCUGUUGCAAGAUGUCUUCACCAAUUUCACGUUUCUUCUGUAAAUACAUUGUGAGUCCUUGGUGCUUUGAUAACAGUGAAGCAUCUACUUGACAUUGGCCAAUAUCUGUAAGAAUCAACUCCUUGCGUUUAUACACACACCCACACACCCACCCACCCCACCCACCCACACCCUAUGUCACAUGAAAAAUAUAAUUUUGAUAAUAUACUACAGUAACAGAAACGAUAUGUCUCACACAGGAUAAGGAGGUAACAUCUUACAUCACCCUAUAUUACAUAUUGGUUAUUAAUAUGCGCUAGUGGUUAGGCAAUAUAAGGUAUGCCUAACUCCUGCCACACCCAAGACAUAUUUUAAAAGAUAUGGGCCUCCACUACUCGAUUGACCAUGUUAAGCGGUCAGAUAAUUUUUUAUUAGAAAUGAAUUUGCAAGAAAAAUUUAUUGUGAGUUGUAUAUGCUUUUUGAAUGAUGAAGGUGUCUGGAUUCAUUUACUCUCUCUAGUGGGUAAGUCUUUUAUGAACGAUUCGUAGUAGUAGAGAUUUGAUAUGCCCUAGUUUAGUUUAAUUCAAAAGUUUGUUUUAUAUUGUGGGUAGAAUUGAUUAUGUGCUUGUACUUUUAACAAUUUACUUAUGAAGAUGAUUUCAUUCUUCUUUGCAAAGUCUGGUUUAUUCGUGAAAAAUAAACUAGUAGUGUCCGGUAUGAUGUGGAUUUUAGCCCCAAAAAAAGAAAGUUUCUUGCCCUAUUUGGGUUGGUUACCAAGAUAACGACCAUAUUGGCUUCAUAUAAUUGCUCUGAAAUUAAUAGUUGCUCCUAUUGUCAUGCAUUGUCCAUGGACGGUUCUACAAACGUUUAAUCACACAGUCUCAAUAUAGUUAUGGCUGAAGUCGAUCGGCUAGCAGAUUUCUUAAAACAAGUUUUGGUAGGUGUUUAAUCAUCUUUGGAUCUGGAAAAAUCUAUGACUAUUGGCAGCAAAUUGAAUAUGAUAUGAUUUCAAAGUAUUGUUAUCGAAUUAUAUGAACUGCUUCAUCUAAAAGCUUAAACUAUUAAAGAGGGAAUCUAUUUUCUUUAAGUCUUCAAUACAUCCAUGUUGUCUCAGCUGAUACAUUUUCUUUUGCUGGACCUAUAAUGUGAAAUAUUUUGUUGAUGCAUAAUGGUGUGACUCAAGCCGAGGACCUCUAAUUGCUCUAGUAUCAUGUAAAACUGUGUGGAUUACCUCAUCCUAAGGUUAAGCUAUUAAAGAGAUGACACUUCUAUUUAUGUUUUUAUGUCUUCAAGAUGUUAUCUUCAAAGACAUGAUGAAGGUGAAUGAUGUGAAGCUAUAAAAUUGGACUCGUAUGGAAUUGCUGCUCCAGGAGAACAAGAAAGCUGUUCGAUAUAUCUUUGACAAGAUGACAAUAGACACAUGACCAUAGAACAGUGUUGAAUGAAAGAUGGGGCAUGGAGUCACGGCAGGCGAAGUUUAAAUGUUUAAGGUCAAAAUGAUUUGUUUUUGUUUAUAGUAGUGAAGAUGGUAAAUAUGAUUCCGACUAAAGGAAUUAUUUAAUCACUGUUGGCGAUGAUAUGGCUAAAGAUCAAGGAAUUGAUUGGGCAAAAUCUGUAAUUUCAGUUGUAGGGGUGCAAUUAACUGCAAAUAUCCAAAUGUUUACUGCAAAUCCUAUUGCCGCUAUGUUAAGUUUCUGUCAAUAUGACAUUGAGAAUUGGAACAGGGGGGACUAUUUGCACAAAUAGGGACUCAAGAGCAUGUGUAUAAUGAGACUGUUAAUAAUGUUGUAGACAUGCGAGCCACUGUUUAGUUCCUAAUAUAGAUAGUCAAGGUGCACAUAUAUGAAAAGGGAGGAUAGGAGGUUAGUGACUAACUAAGAUGUGGUGAUUCCUUUUCUUAGAAUAUUUAUCUAUUAUAUACAUGUUUAUAAAUAGAGAAUGCUUCUUUCCUCUAUUCUAUUUCUACCGAUUGUAGGUUAAUAAAAUAUACAAGUAUUAAAGAAAGCUACUCAAGUAAACACAUUGAAGCAUUUGAAAGGAAAUAACUAGGCUUCCAUAGAUUAAGUACAAAAGAAUUAAAAAGAAGGAAGUUAAUAUAGGCUUAAGGCUAUCUUCUGCUUAAACUAAGAUCUUGGAAAAACCAAUAAGCUUGAGAGGAACUUUCUUGUUUG
rnacentral:lncRNA from 1 species